rnacentral:rRNA from 1 species
GACGAACGCUGGCGGCAGGCUUAACACAUGCAAGUCGAGCGCCCCGCAAGGGGAGCGGCAGACGGGUGAGUAACGCGUGGGAACGUGCCUUUCGGUUCGGAACAUCUGAGGGAAACUUCAGCUAAAACCGGAUACGCCCUUCGGGGGAAAGUUUACGCCGAAAGAUCGGCCCUCGUCAGAUUAGUUAGUUGGUGGGGUAAAGGCCUACCAAGCCGAUGAUCUGUAGGUGGUCUGAGAGGAUGAUCACCCACACUGGGACUGAGACACGGCCCAGACUCCUACGGGAGUCAGCAGUGGAGAAUAUUUGACGAUGGGCGAAAGCCUGAUCCAGCCAUGCCGCGUGGAUGAAGAAGGCCCUAGGGUUGUAAAGUCCUUUCGACGGAGACGAUAAUGACGGUAUCCGUAGAAGAAGCCCCGGCUAAUUUCGUGCCAGCCGCCGCAGUAAAAC